UAUACAUGCAGUCGAGCGAAUCGAUGGGAGCUUGCUCCCUGAGAUUAGCGGCGGACGGGUGAGUAACACGUGGGCAACCUGCCUAUAAGACUGGGAUAACUUCGGGAAACCGGAGCUAAUACCGGAUACGUUCUUUUCUCGCAUGAGAGAAGAUGGAAAGACGGUUUCGGCUGUCACUUAUAGAUGGGCCCGCGGCGCAUUAGCUAGUUGGUGAGGUAAUGGCUCACCAAGGCGACGAUGCGUAGCCGACCUGAGAGGGUGAUCGGCCACACUGGGACUGAGACACGGCCCAGACUCCUACGGGAGGCAGCAGUAGGGAAUCUUCCGCAAUGGACGAAAGUCUGACGGAGCAACGCCGCGUGAACGAAGAAGGCCUUCGGGUCGUAAAGUUCUGUUGUUAGGGAAGAACAAGUACCAGAGUAACUGCUGGUACCUUGACGGUACCUAACCAGAAAGCCACGGCUAACUACGUGCCAGCAGCCGCGGUAAUACGUAGGUGGCAAGCGUUGUCCGGAAUUAUUGGGCGUAAAGCGCGCGCAGGUGGUUCUUUAAGUCUGAUGUGAAAGCCCACGGCUCAACCGUGGAGGGUCAUUGGAAACUGGGGAACUUGAGUGCAGAAGAGGAAAGUGGAAUUCCAAGUGUAGCGGUGAAAUGCGUAGAGAUUUGGAGGAACACCAGUGGCGAAGGCGACUUUCUGGUCUGUAACUGACACUGAGGCGCGAAAGCGUGGGGAGCAAACAGGAUUAGAUACCCUGGUAGUCCACGCCGUAAACGAUGAGUGCUAAGUGUUAGAGGGUUUCCGCCCUUUAGUGCUGCAGCUAACGCAUUAAGCACUCCGCCUGGGGAGUACGACCGCAAGGUUGAAACUCAAAGGAAUUGACGGGGGCCCGCACAAGCGGUGGAGCAUGUGGUUUAAUUCGAAGCAACGCGAAGAACCUUACCAGGUCUUGACAUCCUCUGACACUCCUAGAGAUAGGACGUUCCCCUUCGGGGGACAGAGUGACAGGUGGUGCAUGGUUGUCGUCAGCUCGUGUCGUGAGAUGUUGGGUUAAGUCCCGCAACGAGCGCAACCCUUGAUCUUAGUUGCCAGCAUUCAGUUGGGCACUCUAAGGUGACUGCCGGUGACAAACCGGAGGAAGGUGGGGAUGACGUCAAAUCAUCAUGCCCCUUAUGACCUGGGCUACACACGUGCUACAAUGGAUGGUACAAAGGGCUGCAAACCUGCGAAGGUAAGCGAAUCCCAUAAAGCCAUUCUCAGUUCGGAUUGCAGGCUGCAACUCGCCUGCAUGAAGCCGGAAUCGCUAGUAAUCGCGGAUCAGCAU
rnacentral:rRNA from 2 species